rnacentral:sRNA from 1 species
CAACAACAGAAAGGAGGUGGUCGAAUGUCUCAUUGUCACACGCCGCUGAAGGCAGAUUCCGUGGGCAUGGCGAACCUCGUCGAGGCUUGCCGCCUCUGACCUCCCGCCUUCCGUGGCAGGCAAUGGAAGGGCCGCUCCAGCGAUGGGGCGGCCCU